rnacentral:rRNA from 1 species
GAUGAACGCUGGCGGUGUGCCUAAUACAUGCAAGUCGAGCGAACAGACGAGGAGCUUACUCCUCUGACGUUAGUGGCGGACGGGUGAGUAACACGUGGAUAACCUACCUAUAAGACUGGGAUAACUUCGGGAAACCGGAGCUAAUACCGGAUAACAUGUUGAACCGCAUGGUUCAACAGUGAAAGACGGUCUUGCUGUCACUUAUAGAUGGAUCCGCGUCGCAUUAGCUAGUUGGUAAGGUAACGGCUUACCAAGGCAACGAUGCGUAGCCGACCUGAGAGGGUGAUCGGCCACACUGGAACUGAGACACGGUCCAGACUCCUACGGGAGGCAGCAGUAGGGAAUCUUCCGCAAAGGGCGAAAGCCUGACGGAGCAACGCCGCGUGAGUGAAGAAGGUCUUCGGAUCGUAAAACUCUGUUAUUAGGGAAGAACAAAUGUGUAAGUAACUAUGCACGUCUUGACGGUACCUAAUCAGGAAGCCACGGCUAACUACGUG